rnacentral:lncRNA from 1 species
AUGGUUUUUUUUUUUUUUAAGGAUUUUAUUUAUUUAUUCAUGAGACACACAGAGAGAGGCAGAGACCCAGGCAGAGGGAGAAGCAGGCUUCCUGCAGGGAGCCCGACCUGGGACUCGAUCUGGGACCCGGGGUCACGCCCUGGGCCGGAGGCAGCCGCUCCUCCGCUGAGCCCCCCGGGCGCCCCUGUAAUGGUUUUAUUGCCAAGGGCCGGGAGCCGACCACAGGCCCAUGAGGAGGUGACCGUGGGCCGCGCACGUGGGACAGUGGCCGGUGAUCAGGCCGGAGGCAGCGGCCGGGGACUCAGGGAAGCCACAGAGCUGGGCUCGAAAGCCAAAAAGGUCGGUGUGAAAGGCCACAUCCUGUCCCUUCCAUGUCGACGGGCUUCUAGAAAAGGCGACCGAGAGAGCGACAACAAGAGAGCUUUUCCAGCAGGACAGUGAGCCAUCACGUGCACGACGCUUCCCAGGCGACUCAGUAGGUCAGGGGACCGCAGGAAGGACAAGGAGACAAGCCACGGCAGGAGGACCCGGGCAGGAGGACCCCGGCAGGGGGACUGGGUCUGUGACAGGGGCCUGGAGCUGCAGCGGGACGGAGGCGGUUUCCCCGGGGCGCUCGUCACACCCUGGCCCCCGGCAGGUGCGCUGGGACUGGGUGGCGGAGUCGCUGGGUGCUGGCUGCUGGGUGCUGGGUGCUGCGAGCCGGGUUGCCUGCCGUGGGGUGGGAGUUGGCCGAGAAGCAGGGGGCUGGGGCUGGAGGUGGGAAGGCCGUGGGUGCUCUCGGUUGCUUUACAAGAAGCACAGGCGGUCGCAGGUAGGAAGGUGCGUGCACCUGUGUGCACGUGAGCACAUGCACGCGUCACUCCCCGCUCUGUCACCAGAAGGGGCUGCAAGCCAGGGCACCCCAGGGGCACUGAGCACGCCCAGCCGCCCCAGUGUGGCCUCUGAUUCCAUCCUCCAAGGAAAGGAGAAGCUGGAGGCCAGCCGACCCUAGGACCGAGGCGGGGGUGUCCAGGGAGCCUGCUGCGUCCCGCCGGGGCCAGAGGGGGGACACGCGGGCGACGAUCCACACCGCGGGGCCUUUGGAGUGAAGCAGUAAGUGGAUUACAGCCCACAGCAUCCCGGAUACUGAAAUAUCCACUGGUGGGGACACACGACAAAUGAGGGGAUGGAGGACACACGAGCUCCCACGCAGACCUGGGAAUCAUUUAUGGAGAGGCUCCCCGCUCGAGAAGGAGAGGCGUAGGCGGAGCAGGACCCCUGGGCCCACGCGGUGACGUCCCCCCAAAGAGAAUGGUCACACGCCCUGAGGACAAUGAACACACCCCAGCCAGGGCUCACGGCCCGUCCUCGGUGACAAAUCACACUGACAGCAGGGACCCCUGAGUGACGUGAUGAGAAGCCUUCAGCUCCGUGGUCUUCCUCCCCAAACCCAUCGCCCAACGUGAGACAUGUCCCGAUGGAGGGAGGGUCCCAGCACCCCCAGAACUGCUGGGCCACCUGAAACCAAGGACAGGAGAGCCAGCACAGCCCAGAGGCGUCGGGGAAAUGUGACGUUCAGGGUGGAGAGAGGGUGUGACGGGAACCAAGGAAACCUGAACAGAGUGUAGACUUUGAUUAACCACAGGGAGCCUGUGCUGGUCCCAGAUUCGGAUUCGUGGGGAGGGCGGGAGACGUGGGGCGGGGCGGAUGGGGACUCGGGACAGCCGUGACCCCCGAGUUCUGGGAAUCCGAAACUGUCCUAAGAUUGAAAGUUGAUUAAAAAGAAAAUGAAGAAAAAUUUUAAAAUUAAAAAAAAAAGAAAAUGAAGGAUGGAAGGGAGGGAGGUAGGGAGGGGAGGAAGAGAAAGAAGCAGCAGACAAUGGGCAUCGCUGGGGGUGGGGUGGGGGGGGCGUCGAACACCCCGCAUGAACGUGUCUUUUCCUCUUCAAGGCACAGGAGAGAAACAGACGGCCUACCCCGGGCUCACAAGCUCUCCUCAGCGAUACACGGUGAUACACGGCGAUCACUUCUCCUUUAUACUUCCCAAGUGCUUGGGGCGCGCGGGGGGCUCAGCGGUUGAGCCCCUGCCUUGGCCCAGGGCGUGACCCCAGGGUCCCGGGAUCGGAUCCCACAUCAGGCCCCCCGCAUGGAGCCUGCUUCUCCCUCUACCUGUGUCUCUGCCUCUCUCUGUGUCUCUCAUGAAUAAAUAAAUUAAAUCUUAAAAAAAUAUAUUUUCCAAGUGCUUUACCUUUACACACAGACAUGAUGCAUUAUUUCUUUUUUAAAGAUUUUAUUUUUUUAAAGAUUUUAUCUAUUCAUGAGACACACAGAGAGAGGCAGAGACACAGGCAGAGGGAGAAGCCGGCUCCAUGCAAGAGUCCGACCUGGGACUCGAUUCCGGAACCCCGGGGUCACGCCCUGGGCUGAGGGCAGAAGCUCCACCACGGAGCCCCCCCCCCGCCCCCCAAUGUGU